GACGAACGCUGGCGGCGUGCCUAAUACAUGCAAGUCGAGCGAAUGGAAGGGAGCUUGCUCCCUGAAGUUAGCGGUGGACGGGUGAGUAACACGUGGGCAACCUGCCUGUAAGACUGGGAUAACUUCGGGAAACCGGAGCUAAUACCGGAUACGUUCUUUCCUCGCAUGAGGAAAGAUGAAAAGAUGGUUUCGGCUAGCACUUACAGAUGGGCCCGCGGCGCAUUAGCUAGUUGGUGGGGUAACGGCCCACCAAGGCGACGGCGCGUAGCCGACCUGGGACGACGAUCGGCCCCACUGGGACUGGGAGUCGGCCCAGACUCCUACGGGAGGCAGCAGUAGGGAAUCUUCCGCAAUGGACGAAUGUCUGACGGAGCAACGCCGCGUGAGCGAAGAAGGCCUUCGGGUCGUAAAGCUCUGUUGUCAGGGAAGAACAAGUGCCAGAGUAACUGCUGGCACCUUGACGGUACCUGACCAGAAAGCCACGGCUAACUACGUGCCAGCCGCCGCCGUAA
rnacentral:rRNA from 1 species